AGAGGCAGGAACAGCAGGUUGUUUUUGGAGCAAGGGAAAAUUCACAGAUUAAAAAAGCGAUGAUCCAGUCAAAGCAAAAGAGUAAUAAAUGCCGGAACACAACAAACAAACUAGCAACGAUAAUAUUUUGUUAUCAAAGGAGGACGGCUUGGCCUACAACGAUCGAUUGUGACGUUUGUGCAAAAGCUCCAAGAAACAUCCUGUCACCGACACUGCAUCAUUUACAUCAGUCUCUCGGUUAGUCCAAUGUGCUGUGUCUGUCGUGUUGCUCUAUACCCUAGCCCUAAUCCUGAUCGCUUCAAAUUUCCUAUUUAUUUAUUUUUCUAAACUGGGUAUUCUCCUUUUAUAACACACCUUGGUAUCCCAACACGUAUACACAACUACUGCAACCAAAACGACACCGAAACGA